rnacentral:tRNA from 1 species
GCGCUAAUCGUCUAGUGGUUAGGAUGGCUCCCUUCCAUAAGGAGUCGACCGGCGUUCGAAUCGCCGUUGGCGCA